GUCCACGCCCUAAACGAUGUCUACUAGUUGUCGGGUUUAAUUAACUUGGUAACGCAGCUAACGCGUGAAGUAGACCGCCUGGGGAGUACGGUCGCAAGAUUAAAACUCAAAGGAAUUGACGGGGACCCGCACAAGCGGUGGAUGAUGUGGAUUAAUUCGAUGCAACGCUAAAACCUUACCUACCCUUGACAUGGCAGGAAUCCUUGAGAGAUCAGGGAGUGCCCGAAAGGGAACCUGCACACAGGUGCUGCAUGGCUGUCGU
rnacentral:rRNA from 1 species